UGGGGAAUUUUGGACAAUGGGGGAAACCCUGAUCCAGCCAUCCUGCGUGUGCGAUGAAGGCCUCCGGGUUGUAAAGCACUUUUGGCAGGAAAGAAACGUCAUGGGUUAAUACCCCGUGAAACUGACGGUACCUGCAGAAUAAGCACCGGCUAACUACGUGCCAGCAGCCGCGGUAAUACGUAGGGUGCAAGCGUUAAUCGGAAUUACUGGGCGUAAAGCGUGCGCAGGCGGUUCGGAAAGAAAGAUGUGAAAUCCCAGAGCUCAACUUUGGAACUGCAUUUUUAACUACCGGGCAAGAGUGUGUCAGAGGGAGGUGGAAUUCCGCGUGUAGCAGUGAAAUGCGUAAAUAUGAGGAGGAACACCGAUGGCGAAGGCAGCCUCCUGGGAUAACACUGACGCUCAUGCACGAAAGCGUGGGGAGCAAACAGG
rnacentral:rRNA from 1 species